AACGAACGCUGGCGGCAUGCCUAACACAUGCAAGUCGAACGAGACCUUCGGGUCUAGUGGCGCACGGGUGCGUAACGCGUGGGAACCUGCCUUUAGGUUCGGAAUAACUCAGAGAAAUUUGAGCUAAUACCGGAUAAUGUCUUCGGACCAAAGAUUUAUCGCCUUUAGAUGGGCCCGCGUAAGAUUAGCUAGUUGGUGGGGUAAAGGACCUACCAAGGCGACGAUCUUUAGCUGGUCUGAGAGGAUGAUCAGCCACACUGGGACUGAGACACGGCCCAGACUCCUACGGGAGGCAGCAGUGGGGAAUAUUGGACAAUGGGCGAAAGCCUGAUCCAGCAAUGCCGCGUGAGUGAUGAAGGCCUUAGGGUUGUAAAGCUCUUUUACCCGAGAUGAUAAUGACAGUAUCGGGAGAAUAAGCUACCGGCUAACUCCGUGCCAG
rnacentral:rRNA from 1 species